CGAGGGGUGCAAGCGUUGCUCGGAAUUAUUGGGCGUAAAGGGUAGGUAGGUGGUCUCAUUUGUCUUGUGUGAAAUCCUUGGGCUUAACUCAAGAAGUGCGCAAGAAACGGUGAGACUCGAGUCCUAGAGAGGGUCGUGGAAUCCCCGGUGUAGCGGUGAAAUGCGUAGAGAUCGGGAGGAACACCAGAGGCGAAGGCGGCGACCUGGAUAGGUACUGACACUCAACUACGAAAGCGUGGGGAGCAAACAGGAUUAGAUACCCUGGUAGUCCACGCUGUAAACGAUGGGUACUAGGCUUGGUGGGUCUUGACCCCUGCUGAGCCGGCGCUAACGCAAUAAGUACCCCGCCUGGGAAGUACGGUCGCAAGACUA
rnacentral:rRNA from 1 species